rnacentral:rRNA from 1 species
AACGAACGCUGGCGGCAUGCCUAACACAUGCCAGUCGAACGAGACCUUCGGGUCUAGUGGCGCACGGGUGCGUAACGCGUGGGAACCUGCCCUUAGGUUCGGAAUAACUCCCCGAAAGGGGUGCUAAUACCGGAUAAUGUCUUCGGACCAAAGAUUUAUCGCCUUUGGAUGGGCCCGCGUUGGAUUAGCUAGUUGGUAGGGUAAAAGCCUACCAAGGCGACGAUCCAUAGCUGGUCUGAGAGGAUGAUCAGCCACACUGGGACUGAGACACGGCCCAGACUCCUACGGGAGGCAGCAGUGGGGAAUAUUGGACAAUGGGCGAAAGCCUGAUCCAGCAAUGCCGCGUGAGUGAUGAAGGCCUUAGGGUUGUAAAGCUCUUUUACCCGGGAUGAUAAUGACAGUACCGGGAGAAUAGGCGCCGGCUAACUCCGUG